rnacentral:rRNA from 1 species
CCUACGGGAGGCAGCAGUAAGGAAUAUUGGUCAAUGGAGGCAACUCUGAACCAGCCAUGCCGCGUGCAGGAUGACGGCCCUAUGGGUUGUAAACUGCUUUUAUACAAGAGAAAACCCUGGUACGUGUACCAGGUUGAUAGUAUUGUAAGAAUAAGCAUCGGCUAACUUCGUGCCAGCAGCCGCGGUAAGACGAAGGAUGCAAGCGUUAUCCGGAUUCAUUGGGUUUAAAGGGUGCGUAGGCGGACUGAUAAGUCAGUGGUGAAAUCUCUUUGCUUAACAAAGAAACUGCCAUUGAUACUGUCGGUCUAGAGUAUAGAUGACGUUGGCGGAAUAUGACAUGUAGUGGUGAAAUACUUAGAUAUGUCAUAGAACACCGAUUGCGAAGGCAGCUAACGAAACUAUAACUGACGCUGAGGCACGAAAGUGCGGGGAUCAAACAGGAUUAGAUACCCUGGUAGUCCGCACCGUAAACGAUGAUUACUCGUUGUUGGCGAUAUGACAGUCAGCGACCAAGCGAAAGCGAUAAGUAAUCCACCUUGGGGAGUACGCCGGCAACGGUUGAAACGUUCAAAUUGAAUUGACGG